rnacentral:rRNA from 1 species
UGCCAGCAGCCGCGGUAAUACGAAGGUCCCAAGCGUUAUUCGGAAUCACUGGGCGUAAAGGGAGCGUAGGCGGCGCGGAAAGUCAGAUGUGAAAGCCCAAGGCUCAACCUUGGAACUGCAUCCGAUACUCCCGCGCUAGAGGACUGGAGAGGUGUUUGGAAUUAUCGGUGUAGCAGUGAAAUGCGUAGAGAUCGAUAGGAAGACCAAUGGCGAAGGCAGAACACUGGACAGUACCUGACGCUGAGGCUCGAAGGCUAGGGGAGCGAAAGGGAUUAGAUA